ACCCUCAAUGGCUCAGUAGCCAGUGUAGAUCCUGUCUUUUGUAAUCAGCAGCUACAUCUGGCUACUGGGUCUCUGAUGGCAUCU
rfam:Equus caballus chromosome X, whole genome shotgun sequence.